UACGUAGGUCCCGAGCGUUGUCCGGAUUUAUUGGGCGUAAAGCGAGCGCAGGUGGUUUAUUAAGUCUGGUGUAAAAGGCAGUGGCUCAACCAUUGUGUGCAUUGGAAACUGGUAGACUUGAGUGCAGGAGAGGAGAGUGGAAUUCCAUGUGUAGCGGUGGAAUGCGUAGAUAUAUGGAGGAACACCGGUGGCGAAAGCGGCUCUCUGGCCUGUAACUGACACUGAGGCUCGAAAGCGUGGGGAGCAAACAGG
rnacentral:rRNA from 1 species